CAAGACUAAGCCAUGCAUGUCUAAGUAUAAACGCUUCUAUACUGUGAAACUGCGAAUGGCUCAUUAAAUCAGUUAUAGUUUAUUUGAUGGUUUCUUACUACUUGGAUAACCGUGGUAAUUCUAGAGCUAAUACAUGCACAAAGUCCCGACUCUUCGGAAGGGAUGUAUUUAUUAGAUCCAAAACCAAUGCGAGUCUCUCGGGGCUCGGUUCCUUGGUGAUUCAUGAUAACUGCUCGAACCGUAUGGCCCUUGCGCCGACGGUGCUUCAUUCAAAUUUCUGCCCUAUCAACUUUCGAUGGUACGGUAGUGGCCUACCAUGGUUGCAACGGGUGACGGAGAAUUAGGGUUCGAUUCCGGAGAGGGAGCCUGAGAAACGGCUACCACAUCCAAGGAAGGCAGCAGGCGCGCAAAUUACCCAAUCCCGACUCGGGGAGGUAGUGACAAUAAAUAACAAUGCCGGGCUAUUGUAGUCUGGCAAUUGGAAUGAGUACAAUCUAAAUCCCUUAACGAGGAACAAUUGGAGGGCAAGUCUGGUGCCAGCAGCCGCGGUAAUUCCAGCUCCAAUAGCGUAUAUUAAAGUUGUUGCAGUUAAAAAGCUCGUAGUUGGAUUUCGGGGUGGCCUGCCUGGUCCACCGCAAGGUGAGUACUGGUCAGCCGCCCUUCCUCUCGAAAGCCCCGACUGCUCUUUACUGCAGUGGUCGGGUAGUUCGGGACGUUUACUUUGAAAAAAUUAGAGUGUUCAAGGCAGGCUAUCGCCUGAAUACAUUAGCAUGGAAUAAUGGAAGAGGACCUCGGUCCUAUUUUGUUGGUUUCUAGGGCCGAAGUAAUGAUUAAGAGGGACAGUUGGGGGCAUUCGUAUUUAAUUGUCAGAGGUGAAAUUCUUGGAUUUAUGAAAGACGAACUAGUGCGAAAGCAUUUGCCAAGGAUGUUUUCAUUAAUCAAGAACGAAAGUUAGGGGUUCGA
rnacentral:rRNA from 1 species